AAUUACGGAGAUACUAUAAAAAAGGAUUACGGAUUCGAAAGAAAAGAAAAAAAAUCAAAUAGCAUUAUAUUUUUAAGGUGGUUUCCGAUUUCUACUUCUUUUUUCUUUUUCCUUUGAUUUGUUUUUAUUUGCUGAUUAAAAGAUAAAAAAGGGGGAAGUUCUUACUUACAUAUUGCGCCGCCGGAGCCUUCAUCCCUUUUGUUUCAAGUUGGAAUGGGGUGGGCAAUGGUCGAAUCGAAAACAGCACAUAGAGGGUAGAUUUUAAGGUUUCUUUGGUUAGAUUUUUUUUUUAAAAAAUGGAGUGUCUACUAAUAUUUAGGGUUUAUGUUGACUUAUAUAUGGCGUAUGAAACGACGUCAUUUCAUGCCAUUUCAGUGGUUUCAAAACGGCGUCAUAUAGGACCGAGAUCUGUGCGGUGACCUGACCCGAGGGAAGGAUCCGCACGUUUUGUCGCGAUGGUCUAUUUUUACAUUAGGUCCCUUCGUUUUUUAUUAUUAUAAUGCAGUUUUUUUAUAUAUUUUUAAUUUGUACUCCUUGAUUUGUUUUAAUUUCAAUUAGGUCCAUAAUCGAACGACGUCGUUUUGGAGGGCAGGGAUUAAUUUCCCUUUUGGUCUCUCUUUGUUAUUCGCGCGUUCGAUAUGGUCCUUUUCUUUUUAUUUAUUUUAAAUUUGCCCCUAAAUUUCUGUUUUAAUUCCAAAUUAGUAACCUAUUUUGUUAUUUUUGCUAUUAAAUUAAUUACUUUAAUAUUAAUUUAUCAUUAUUACUAUUAUUACUAUCAUUAUUGUUAUUAUUAUUAGUAGUAGUAGUAGUAUUUAUAUAUAUAUAUAUAUAUCUAACUUUUUUUAUAUACAUAAUUUUAUUCUAUUAUAUACUAUUAUUUAGUUUUUUUUAUACUAUUAUCAUAUAUUAUUAUUUAAGUUUGUAAUGUAUUUUUUUUAUAUUAAUCCAAUAUAAUAUAUAUAUUUUCCAUUUUUUAUUUUAUAAUAUAUUUUUUAAAUUCACCUAUAUAUAUUUCUAUGCUUUAAAAGAUUUAUACGAUAAUGUCCUUAUAUAAUACUAUUUUAUAUAUAUGUAUACACAAUUUAUAUUAAAUUAUUUUCAUUAUAUGUACAUAUAUGACAUAUGAUAGAUUUCAUUUUUUUUCACUUAUUUUCAUAAAUAAUUUAUUUCUUUUAAAAAGCCUACUCUAUUAUGUUUUAUUUAUUUCUGCUUUUUACAUGUAUUAUUAUAUAUGUAUACUAUUAUUUAUAUCAAGUUUUUCACUCCAUGUGUAUUACAUAUUCUAAAUUAAUAUAUAUUAUUUUAUAUAUUUUAAUUUUCUUCUUAUAUAAUAUUUGCUUCAAAAUUCAUCUAAAUACUAUUAUUUUAUGUAGUGUUUAUUUUUUACUCUAUCUUGAUUACAUUUCAUACUUAUAUAUAUGUAUAUUGUUCAUUUUUAAACUUUUUGUACGUAUAGUUUAUUGAUUAUAAUUUCUUCUCUCUUUUUUUUAGUGUAUCUUUAAAAAUUGAUUAGUAAUUCACUUAAAUUUUGAAUGUUGAAUGAUUGAGAUUGUUGCCUUGCUUGUUAGUAUUUGUCUAUUGGUUAUUUGUUAUUCAUUAGUGUAUGUUAUUUACAAAUUAUCCUUUACGUUGUACGUUGUCAUUUAUUCGCAUUACAUUCGUUUAAAAGGUUGCAUUUGAUUAAAAUAAUAAAAUUGUUUACCCAUAAAAUUUUCAAGAUACUUGGUAUCCAAGAUUCUUGAGAAGAUUGUGCCCUAACUUACUCGGCUUCAAUUUUCCUCAUUGGAUUGAGGUAACCGGGUAUCUCUUUUUCGAUUAAAACAUAAAAAUUCAAAUCAAAACUUAUCUCGAGGAUUCAAAACGUUGUGUCCUAACUCAUUGGAUAUGACAUUUUGUUAUCUUGAGAUGAGGUUUUUUUUAAUAAAGGCAAACUCACAUGUUGUCGUCGGAACUUCAAAGAAUCGUACCCUAACUUACGGGGUUUUGAUUUCCUUAUUGAAGCAAGAUGACCAAAUUUUUUAGUUUUUGAAAUAAUAAAUUUCAAUAAAGAUUUUUUAAAAGGAGAAUCACUUUUUUAAUCUUUUUUUGACAUUCGACCUUAAGACAUUAAAUAAUCAAUUAGGUACCAAUUUUGGGCGUUACGAGGGUGCUAACCCUUCCUCGUACGCAAUCGACUCUCGAACUCAUUUUUUCUGAAACUCAUAGACCAAAAUCGUUUUCAAGGUGAUUCGAUCACACCUCAAUAAAAGAUCGGUGACAACUCCAAUUUUCAUUUUUAAGUCGACAACUAACUUUUGUUUUCAAAAAGUGGUUUCGACAGCUUGUCAACUCCACUGGGGAUUGAUUUUAAGAGUCGAGCCAUAAAUUGAUUAAUUUUUGUCUUAUGGUCGAAAAAUCAAAUUUUGUUUUUAAAUUCACGAUUCUCCUUUGCAUUUAUUGUUUUCAUCAUGGUAUUGUUGCUUGGUUGGUCUAAGUCUGUUAAUGUAUUUGCAUCGUGCAUUACACGAGUUGGACGAUUUUACCCUUCUAAGUGGGAGUGAGAAACUAUUCCUUUGUGAGGUUUUCACCUCCGCAUAGGAUAGUGGAUCUCUUUCGGGAUACAUCCGUACCUAUGUCUUCGUAAUAUUUUCAUCUCCAUGUAGCCAUAGGGAAAUGUAUUCCCUUAAACCGAACUCAGUUCGCAUGAGCCUAUAAUUGGUGAGGAUCGAGGAAUCUACUGGUUUGGGUACCUUUGCACUAGAAGCCAAACCGUACAUUGUGAACCUUAGGAACUUGCCCUAGGUAGAACUAUGUCAAACCCUAGUAGAUACCCAAAUAGGUGCUUUAUUAUUUCUUGUUUGAAUUGAAUUUUAUUUUUAUACAUGAUACUAACUUGUGUUUUGUUUUGAUUGCAUGGCAUUUUGACUACAUGGCAUUUCAUUAUAAAAGGCGUUGAUUCAUAUUCGGUUACUAGAUAGAAAGCUUAUCAUGGAAAAAGGGUUUCUUGAUAAGGUGAAGGAUAAUGCGGCUGUCCGAACUUGGUCUGAAACAACAUAGCGAGAAACAUUUCAUGGAAAAAGGGUUUCUUGAUAAGGUGGGUUUCUUGAACAUUUCUGGAUCACAUUUAAUUCAAUAUUUAAAUUUUAGAGAGAUGUUUGGGUUACAACAAUUGCAUCAUUAUGUUUAAUAGAACAUUUGAUAGGAAAAGGAGCAAAAAAAUGAGUGAAAACCGAAAAAUGAGGGCAAACUAUAGGACCCACACGGGCUGACCUAUUCCACUUGACUGUGUGACCCACACGGUCGUGUGGCAAACCACGUCAAUUUCAUUGAUUUGCACUUUUAACUGAGAAAAAUACGAAUUUUAGGUUUUUCGGGCAUUCUAAGAUGUAUAUAUGACAAAAUUAAGAAGAUAGGACCUUCCUAGAAUAUUCAAGAAAGCAACUCCAAAGACACCACUAAAGCCGACUCUGAAGCAGAUUUUCAUUAAGAUGGAAGAUUUCUAUUCGAUUUCUUAGGAGAUUAUCAUGAGUUUCUUUAUUUCUUUCAAUUAUAAUGCCCUUUUGAUGUUUUUAUUUUUAAUCAAGAUUAAUGAUAACAAUAUCAUAAAUAAUUUAUUUAUUUAAUAUUCUUAAUCUAACAUAUUGAUGUAAAUUUUAAAUUGACAUUAUUUGAUUCUUUUUAAUAUAUAUUGCUAAGCUUUACAUUAAUAUUUGUUGGUUAUUAUUAUUAUUAUUAUUAUUUAAACAUUAAUCAUGUUUAAAUGCGUUUCAUCCUCCAAUUUAAGAGUUGGAGAGAAUUUUCAAUAGUUAAAUUAUAUCAGUUUUUAUCUAUUUAAAAAUUAUUUAUAAAUAAUAUAAGUAGAAAUUAAAUUUAAAAAAAAUACAUAUUCAUAUUCUAUCGGCUUUUUCAUUAUUAGAGUUUUUCCUCACAGGUAAAAGUAUUUAUGGACAGGAUGGCGUAAUAUUAUGACUUGAAAAGUUUUAAACCCUUCAACACUGCAAAAAUGAAAUAAUAGAAAUGAAAGACUAGCCAUUGUAUGAAAUUUAUAAUUGAACUGUAAACAAAAUUAAACUGUCAAUAAUAGAAAAUUGCCUGAGUGACUUGGGAUAAGAGGUUGAACAUUUAUGGAUCACAUUGCAUUUAAGAGGGGUCUUUGGAGUUAUAUGAUACUUUAACAUAGACAUAGACUUUUCUAUAAUUAGUCACUGCUUUACUAUGGGUGAAUUCUUCCAACUAGCAUGAUAGUUGAUGUUACUCUCCAAGAAUUAUUGUAGCCUCCUCUUCCAACUAGCGUAGAGUUAUCUUUAUUCCUACCCCACGCUGGCAACAAACCACUGCUCAAAUUAAUUUGAAGAUAUCUCUUUUCGAAUCCAUGAGUUUUGUUUUCCUUUUUGUAAAAUAGAUAUCAAGAGAUACCAAAAAUUAUUUUACUAACAAAUUUUAAUUCACUCAAAAAGUAAGUGUUUUAUUUCAAGGGAUCACAAUUAAACAUUAGAUUUCUCAUUUUUUAAUUUUAAUUCAUUUAAGAAAGCUGAUGUAACACAUUAGUGACAUCAUUCCAAACAAAGUUUUAGGUCAAAAUUUUCAUCUAGUCCUUGUAAUUGUUUUUAGGUGAAUUUCAUUAUUAUUCUUUUAUUUUCUUUGGCUUAAAUACACAUUUACCCCUAAUUUUAUCACACUCUCCUUAAUUGGUAUUUAUGGUAUAGAAAAUUUUACAAAUAUAUAUAUAUAUUAAGCAAUUAUAAGAAGAUUACAAAAAUUCCAAAAUAAUAUAAAAAAGCUAAGAAAAACCUUGAAAUUCAAAAAAAAAAUCAUGUUUUUACAAAUUGGGAAGUACCUAAAUUUGUUUUCAUCAAUUAAGAAAUUAAAAAAAUUGUUGAGAAAUAUCUUUUUAGAAAUAUCAUAAUUGCAUUCAAGACCUCAUGAUUAUCUUUUAUAAUUUCAGGCUUAUCAACUAUUUUGAAAACAAAGAAAUGUCAUACACCAGAAAAAUAAACAAAAACAAAAACGUCGACAUAUCACUUUAGCAUUGACUUACGUUUCUACUGUUAGUCUUCUCCAACAAGUUAAAUAUUUCAAUUUUAACAACAUUGACAGGUCUUUGGGGUAGGGUCUAGCAAAACUCAAUAGAAACGGAUGAUACAGUUUGAGUUGGCUCGGUCAAGCCCAUGUCCCUAGCAAUACGGCCCUGGUAAAAUCAAUUUUAAAGUUAAUUAUAAUAGUUUAAGCGAACUGAUUAUUGAGUAAUGAAAUACUUAAUUCAAACAAUUGAUG
rnacentral:lncRNA from 1 species